rnacentral:lncRNA from 1 species
GGCCUCGCUCCAUUCCCCACUUUUAACGGUCACUCGGCCUUAAGCCGUCCUGGGUGUAUGUGAGGCUGAAAGGGAAGGAGGAACAGGGUCUGGGCCGCUGUGUGCUCUGCCGUCAUCUCUAAGAAACAACCAUACCACUGAAUGCUACUGUGUACUUACAAACCACACUCAUAUUCGUCACGUCAUUUCAUCUUCACCCCCACCUCCAAAUGAGGCUUGAAAUGAGAUGAGAUGUUCCUCCCUCCCCUUUCAACCAUGGACCUCACACUGUGGACUUCCUCUUAGAGCCUCUGAGUUAGGUACCCAAGCCAAGGCACAAUGUCCCUGCCCCCCAUAAGACUGCCCAGCCCCUAUGGCUCUGAUCGGCUGGUACAGCUAGCAGCCAGGCUCCGGCCAGCACUCUGUGAUACUCUGAUCACCGUAGGGAGCCAGGAGUUCCCCGCCCACAGCCUGGUGCUAGCAGGUGUCAGCCAGCAGCUGGGCCGCAGGGGCCAGUGGGCUCUGGGAGAAGGCAUCAGCCCUUCUACCUUUGCCCAGCUCCUGAACUUUGUGUAUGGGGAGAGUGUAGAGCUGCAGCCUGGAGAGCUAAGGCCCCUUCAGGAGGCGGCCAGGGCCUUGGGAGUGCAGUCCCUGGAAGAGGCAUGCUGGAGGGCUCGAGGGGACAGGGCUAAAAAGCCAGAUCCAGGCCUGAAGAAACAUCAGGAGGAGCCAGAGAAACCCUCAAGGAAUCCUGAGAGAGAACUGGGGGACCC